GGAAGGGUUUAGCUUUGUAAGCAUGAACUGUGCCUUAUCACUUCCCCUCAGAACAAGACAGGAGGAAAGGCCAUCUUCUGUGUUAUUUACUGUUAGAGCUGCAGCAAAUGGGGUGGGAUCAUGUGAUACAGAAGAGGAACUGAACUUCAAUAGAUACUACCCGAUAUUGAUGUAUUUUCAGUAAUAGAAAAAAAAAAAUUGACUGCAACAGUGGGAUCACAGCAAGCUCCAUCUGGACUAGCAGCGAUUCACAGGAUGUUGCUAAUGGUUUCAAUCAGAGGAGUCAUCUCUAAGUUUUAUUUAAACCUGGUCACUUUGGGCAUAACUGAAGGGUUUAUGCCACUGCCACGCAAUGAAGAGAGAUUAACAUCCAUCGUGAUUUUGUGGUUUAACACAGCUGGCAGCUAACUACCACACAACCUCUCUCUCACUCUCCCCAUGUGGGAUAGGGAAGAGAUGAGAAAGGUAAAAGUGCGAGAACUCUGUAUCUCCCGUAUGUAUACAGGUGUUGAUGUAUACUGCUGUGUUCUUGUUGUAACAAAUUUAGUUCUCCAAAACAAAAGUUAGAGAAGUAAUAGUAGUACCUUUAAUUUUGGAAUAUAUCUGAGAAGAAUGUUGUGAAUGUUACUAAAAUAAAUGCUUAUUCUG
rnacentral:lncRNA from 1 species